rnacentral:piRNA from 1 species
UACAUAGUGAGUCAGAAGCUACCAUGGGUU